CGAACGCUGGCGGCGUGCCUAAUACAUGCAAGUCGAACGGCUUUUCUAUGGAAGCUUGCUUCCACUGAGAAGAUAGUGGCGAACGGGUGAGUAACACGUGGGUAACCUGCCCAUAAGAGGGGGAUAACAUCCGGAAACGGGUGCUAAUACCGCAUAGUUUUCUUGAUCGCAUGAUUGAGAAAGGAAAGACGGCCUUUGUGCUGUCGCUUAUGGAUGGACCCGCGGCGUAUUAGUUAGUUGGUGAGGUAACGGCUCACCAAGACGAUGAUACGUAGCCGACCUGAGAGGGUGAUCGGCCACAUUGGGACUGAGACACGGCCCAAACUCCUACGGGAGGCAGCAGUAGGGAAUCUUCCGCAAUGGACGAAAGUCUGACGGAGCAACGCCGCGUGAGUGAAGAAAAGGUUUUCGGAUCGUAAAACUCUGUUGUCAGAGAAGAACAAGUUGGAGAGUAACUGCUCCAGCCUUGACGGUAUCUGACCAGAAAGCCACGGCUAACUACGUGCCAGCCGCUGC
rnacentral:rRNA from 1 species